rnacentral:rRNA from 1 species
GACGAACGCUGGCGGCGUGCCUAAUACAUGCAAGUCGAGCGAAUUUCUUUGGAGCUUGCUCCAAAGAAGUUAGCGGCGGACGGGUGAGUAACACGUGGGCAAUCUGCCCGUAAGACUGGGAUAACUCCGGGAAACCGGGGCUAAUACCGGAUAAUCCCGACUCUCUCCUGAGAGUCGGUUGAAAGAUGGUUUCGGCUAUCACUUACGGAUGAGCCCGCGGCGCAUUAGCUAGUUGGUGAGGUAACGGCUCACCAAGGCGACGAUGCGUAGCCGACCUGAGAGGGUGAUCGGCCACACUGGGACUGAGACACGGCCCAGACUCCUACGGGAGGCUG